CCAGACUCCUACGGGAGGCAGCAGUGAGGAAUAUUGGUCAAUGGCCGGAAGGCUGAACCAGCCAAGCCGCGUGAAGGACGAAGGUGCCAAGCAUUGUAAACUUCUUUUGUCAAGGGACAAAAUCAGGCUCGAGAGCCUGACCGAGGGUACUUGAAGAAAAAGCAUCGGCUAACUCCGUGCCAGCAGCCGCGGUAAUACGGAGGAUGCGAGCGUUAUCCGGAUUUACUGGGUGUAAAGGGAGCGUAGACGGCUAAUCAAGUCAGAAGUGAAGACCCAGGGCUCAACCUUGGGACUGCUUUUGAAACUGAGUAGCUAGAGUGCAGGAGAGGUAAGCGGAAUUCCUAGUGUAGCGGUGAAAUGCGUAGAUAUUAGGAGGAACACCAGUGGCGAAGGCGGCUUACUGGACUGUAACUGACGUUGAGGCUCGAAAGCGUGGGGAGCAAACAGGAUUAGAUACCCCUGUAU
rnacentral:rRNA from 1 species